rnacentral:rRNA from 1 species
GAUGAACGCUGGCGGCGUGCCUAAUACAUGCAAGUCGAGCGAACGGACGAGAAGCUUGCUUCCCUGAUGUUAGCGGCGGACGGGUGAGUAACACGUGGAUAACCUACCUAUAAGACUGGGAUAACUUCGGGAAACCGGAGCUAAUACCGGAUGAUAUUUUGAACCGCAUGGUUCAAAAGUGAAAGACGGUCUUGCUGUCACUUAUAGAUGGAUCCGCGCUGCAUUAGCUAGUUGGUAAGGUAACGGCUUACCAAGGCAACGAUGCAUAGCCGACCUGAGAGAGUGAUCGGCCACACUGGAACUGAGACACGGUCCAGACUCCUACGGGAGGCAGCAGUAGCGAAUCUUCCGCAAUGGGCGAAAGCCUGACGGAGCAACGCCGAGUGAGUGAUGAAGGUCUUCGGAUCGUAAAACUCUGUUAUUAGGGAAGAACAUAUGUGUAAGUAACUGUGCACAUCUUGACGGUACCUAAUCAGAAAGCCACGGCUAACUACGUG